rnacentral:rRNA from 1 species
CAACUUUCAACAACGGAUCUCUUGGCUCUCGCAUCGAUGAAGAACGCAGCGAAGUGCGAUAAGUAAUGUGAAUUGCAGAUUUUCAGUGAAUCAUCGAAUCUUUGAACGCACCUUGCGCCCCUUGGUAUUCCGAGGGGCAUGCCUGUUUGAGUGUCAUUA